rnacentral:rRNA from 1 species
AUUGAACGCUGGCGGAAUGCUUUACACAUGCAAGUCGAACGGCAGCACGGGGGCAACCCUGGUGGCGAGUGGCGAACGGGUGAGUAAUACAUCGGAACGUGCCCAGUCGUGGGGGAUAACGUAGCGAAAGUUCUGCUAAUACCGCAUACGAUCUACGGAUGAAAGCGGGGGACCGUAAGGCCUCGCGCGAUUGGAGCGUCCGAUGUCAGAUUAGGUAGUUGGUGAGGUAAAGGCUCACCAAGCCGACGAUCUGUAGCGGGUCUGAGAGGACGACCAGCAACACUGGGACUGAGACACGGCCCAGACUCCUACGGGAGGCAGCAGUGGGGAAUUUUGGACAAUGGGCGCAAGCCUGAUCCAGCCAUUCCGCGUGCAGGACGAAGGCCUUCGGGUUGUAAACUGCUUUUGUACGGAACGAAAAGGCUCUGGUUAAUACCUGGGGCUCAUGACGGUACCGUAAGAAUAAGCACCGGCUAACUACGUGCCAGCCGCCGCAGUAA